rnacentral:rRNA from 1 species
UACAGAGGUCUCGAGCGUUGUUCGGAUUCAUUGGGCGUAAAGGGUGCGUAGGUGGCGCCGUAAGUCAGGUGUGAAAUCUCGGGGCUUAACUCCGAAACUGCAUUUGAUACUGCGGUGCUUGAGGACUGGAGAGGAGACUGGAAUUUACGGUGUAGCGGUGAAAUGCGUAGAUAUCGUAAGGAAGACCAGUGGCGAAGGCGGGUCUCUGGACAGUUCCUGACGCUGAGGCACGAAGGCCAGGGGAGCAAACGGG